UACGUAGGGUGCGAGCGUUGUCCGGAAUUAUUGGGCGUAAAGAGCUCGUAGGCGGUUUGUCACGUCUGCUGUGAAAUCCCGAGGCUCAACUCCGGAUCUGCGGUGGGUACGGGCAGACUAGAGUGAUGUAGGGGAGACUGGAAUUCCUGGUGUAGCGGUGAAAUGCGCAGAUAUCAGGAGGAACACCGAUGGCGAAGGCAGGUCUCUGGGCAUUAACUGACGCUGAGGAGCGAAAGCAUGGGGAGCGAACAGG
rnacentral:rRNA from 1 species